rnacentral:rRNA from 1 species
ACGCACGCUGGCGGCGUGCUUCACCCAUGCAAGUCGCACGGAAAGGCCCUGCUUGCAGGGUACUCGAGUGGCGAACGGGUGAGUAACACGUGGGUGAUCUGCCCUGCACUUCGGGAUAAGCCUGGGAAACUGGGUCUAAUACCGGAUAGGAGCCAUUUUUAGUGUGAUGGUUGGAAAGUUUUUUCGGUGUAGGAUGAGCUCGCGGCCUAUCAGCUUGUUGGUGGGGUAAUGGCCUACCAAGGCGGCGACGGGUAGCCGGCCUGAGAGGGUGGACGGCCACAUUGGGACUGAGAUACGGCCCAGACGCCUACGGGAGGCAGCAGGGGGGAAUAUUGCACAAGGGGCGCAAGCCUGAUGCAGCGACGCCGCGUGGGGGAGGACGGCCUUCGGGUUGUAAACUCCUUUCGCUAGGGACGAAGCUUUUUGUGACGGUACCUAGAUAAGAAGCACCGGCUAACUACGUG